rnacentral:lncRNA from 1 species
AGGCGGCCCAAGGCAUGUCAAGGCGGCCCAAGGCGGGUCAAGACGGCCACUUGGCGGUCCUAAGCGGGUCAAAGCGGGUUAAGGCGACCCAAGGCGGGUCAAGGCGGGUUAAGGCAGGUCAAGGCAGCUUAAGUCGAUUCAAGGCAGCCCCUUAACAGGUCAAGGCGGCCCAACGCGGGUCAAGGUGGCCUAAGGCGGGUCAAGGAGUCCCAAGCGGGCCUAGGAGAGUCAAGGUAGCCCUUAACGGGUCAAGGCGGGUCAAGACAACCCAAGCCAGCCCAAUGGGGCCCUAGUUGUGUCUUGGCGGGUCAAGACAGCCCUUGUUGGGUCAAGGUGACCCUAGGCGGUCGUAGGAGGGUCAAGGAAGCCCCCUUAACGGGUGAACCAAGGCGGGCCUAGAAGGGUCAAAGCAGCCCCGUGGUGGCCCUGGAUGGGUCAAGACGGCCUCUGAACGACCUUAGGUGGGUCAAGGCGGCCCCUUGGUGGCUUUAGACAGGUCUUGGCAGCCCCUUGACGGGUUAAGAGAGGUUAAAGCAGCCUAAAACGUGUAAAGGCAGCCCCUUGGUGGGGGCUCAAGACAGCCACUUGGGGGCCCUAAGCGGGUCAAGGUGGGGCAAGGCGGCCUAAGACGGGGCAAGGCUGGUCAAAGCGGCCACUUGAAGGCCCAAGACUGCCCCUUGGCGGCCCUAGGCGGGUCACGACGGCCCUUUGGUUGUCCAAAACGGGUCUUGGCAGCUCCUUGGUGGGUCAAGGCGGCCCCUUGGUGUCCUUAUACCGGUCUCGGCCCUAGUUGAGUCUUGACGGGCCUAAGGGAGGUCAAAGCGGCCCUAGGUGUGUAAAGGCAGCCCCUUGGCGGGUUAAGGCGACCUUAGGCGGGCCUAAAAGGGUCAAGACAGCCACUUGACGGGUCAAGGUGGCCCAAGAUGGGUCAAGGCAGCCUAAAACGGUUCAAGGCAGCCCCAUAACAUGUCAAGGCGGGUCAAAACGACCCAAGACGAUUCAAGGUAGCCCCUUAACGGGCCAAGGCGGGUCAAGACGAGUAAGGGCGGUCCAAGGCGGGUCAAGACGGCCACUUGGCGGUCCUAAGCUGGACAAGGCGGGUUAAGGCGGCCUAAGGCAGGUCAAGGCGGCCCAAGACGGUUCAAGACAGCCCCUUAACAGGUCAAGGUGGCCCAAGACGGGUUAAAGCGGCCCAAGGCGUGUCAAGGCAGCCCAAGACGGGUCAAGAUGGCCACUUGGCGGCCCUAAACGGGUUAAGGCGGCCCAAGGUGGGGCAAAGCGGCCCAAGGCAGGCCAAAGGCGGGUCACGACAGCUCCAUAACGGAUCAAGGUGGCCCAAGGCGACAGAAAACGGCCCCUUGGUGGCUAUAGGCAGGUCACGACUGCCCCUUGGUGGUGCUAAACGGGUCUUGGUAUCCCCUUAGUGGGUCAAGGCGGCCCCUUGGUGGCCGUAGACGGGUCUUGGCAGCCCCUUGGCGGGCUAAGAGAGGUUAAAGCAGCCUAAAACGUGUAAAGGUAGCCCUUUGGCGGGCCUAGAAGGCCCCUUGGCGGGUCAAGGUUGCCCAAGGCUGGUCAAGACGGCCACUCUGCGGCCUAAUGCGGGUCAAGGCUCGUUAAAGCAGCCAAAGGCGAGGCAAGAUGGCCACUUGGCGGCCUCAAAACGGGUCAAGGCAGCCUAAGAUGGUUCAAGGCAGCCCGUUGACGGGUCAAGACAGCCCAAGGCAGGUCAAGGCGACACAUGGUGGGUCAAGGCGGCCCAAGACGGGUCAAGAUGGCCACUUGGCGGCCCUAAGUGGGUCAAGGCGGCCUUAAGCGGGGCAAGACUGGUCAAGGCGGGUUAAGACGGGCCAAGGCGAGUCACGGUAGCCCCUUAACGGAUCAAGGCGGUCCAAAACGGGUCAAGGCGGCGCAAAAAGGGUUAAGCCGGCCACUUGGCGACCCAAAGCGGGUCAAAGCGGCCUAAGAGGGGUUAAGCCGGCCACUUGGCUCCCCAAGACAGCCGAAAACGGCCUUUGGCGGCUAUAGGCAAGUUACGGCAGCCCCUUGGUGGCGUUAAACGGGUCUUGGUAUCCCCUUAGCAGGCCAAGACGGCCCCUUGGUGGCCCUAGAUGGGUAUUGGCAGUCCCUUGGUGGGUUAAGGGAGGUUAAAGCGGCCUAAAGCGUGUAAAGGUAGCCCCUUGGCGGGUCAAUGCGGCCCAAGGCGGGUCAAAGCAGCCACUUGACGGCCCAAGAUGGCCCUUUGGUGGCCUUAGGCGGGUCACAACGGUCCCUUGGUGGUCUAAAACGGGUCUUGAUAGCUCCUUGGUGGGUCAAGACGACCCCUUGGUGUUCUUAGACGGGUCUUGGCAGCCCCUUGGCGGGUCAAGCCGGCCCUAGUUGAGUCUUGGCGGGCCUAAGGGUGGUCAAAGCGACCUUAGGUGUGUAAAGGCAACCCCUUGGCGGGUUAAGACGGCCCCUUGGACGGUCAAGGCGACCCUAGGCGGGCCUAAAAGGUCAAGGCAGCCACUUAACGGUUUAAGGCGGCCCAAGGCGGGUCAAGGCAGCCCAAAAUUGUUCAAGACGGCCAGUUGGCGGCCCAAAGCUGGAUAAGGCGGGUUAAGGUGGACCAUGGUGGGUCAAGGCGGCCUAAGUCUGGUCAAGGCAACCGUAAACGGUUCAAGCCAGCCCCUUAACAAGUUAAGGCAGCCCAAGGCGGCCUAAAGCGGGUCAAGACGGCUACUUGGCGGCCCUAAGCGGGUUAAGGCGGCCAAAAGUGGCCCGAGGAGGGUCAAGACGGCCACUUGGCGGCCUUAGGCGUGUCAAAGUGGGUUAAGGCGGCCUAAGUCGGAUUAAGGCUGCCGAAGACGGUUCAAGCCAACCCCUUAACGGGUUAAGGCGGCCCAAGGCGGGUCAAGACGGUCAGUUGGCGGCCCUAAGCGGGUUAAGGUGGCCAAAGGCGGGGCAAAGCGGCCUAAGGUGAGGCAAGGCUGGUCAAGGUGGGCCAAGGCGAGUCACGACAGCCCUUAACGGGUCAAGGCGGCCCAAAACGGGUCAUGACGGCCCAAAGCGGGUUAAGGCGACAACUUGGCGGCCCUUUGGCGACUAUAGGCAAGUCACGGCGACCCCUUGGCGGCGCUAAAUGGGUCUAGGUAUCCCCUUAGCGGGUCAAGGUAGCCUCUUGGUGGCCAUAGACAGGUUUUGGCAGCCCGUUGGCGGGUUAAUGGAGGUUAAAGCGGUGUAAAGCGUGUAAAGGUAGCCUAGCCCUUUGGCAGGUUAAGGCGGCCCAAAGCGGGUCAAGACGGGCCAAGGCGGUCAAGACGGCCCAAAGUGGGUCAAGGUGGGUCCAGGCAGGUCAAGGCGGCCCAAGGCGGGUCUCGGCAGGUCAAGGCGGCCCAAGACGGCCUAAGGCGGGUCAAGACGGCCACUUAGCGGUCCUAAGCGGGUUAAGGUGGCCCAAGGCGGGUCAAGUCGGCCCAAGGCGGGGCAAAGUGGCCCAAGACGGGGUAAAGCUGAUCUAGGCGGCCCAAGGCAGGGCAAGGCGGGUCACGACAUCCCCUUAACGGGUCAAGGAGGGUUAAGGCGGCCCUAAGCGGGUCAAUACGGGUUAAGGCGGACCAAAACGGGUUCAAGGCGGGUGAAGACGGCCCAAAUGCGGGUCAAGGCAGCCCAGGACGAGUUAAGGCAGCCCAAGACGAGUUAAGGUAGCCUAAGACGUGCCAAGGCGGCCCAAAGCGGGGUCAAGACGGUCAUUUGGGGCCCUAAGCAGGUCAAAGCGGGUUAAGGCGGCCCAAGGCAGGUUAAGACGGCCACUUGGCAGCCCUGAGCUAGACAACGCGGGUUUAGGCGGACCAGUGCGGGUUAAGGCGGCCCAAGACGUGUCAAGGCGACCCACGACGUGUCAAGGCGGCCCAAGGCAUGGCAAAGCGGCCCUUUGGCGGGUCAAGGCAGCCACUUGACUGCCCUAAGCGGGUUAAGGCGGCCCAAGGCGGGUUAAGGCGGGGCAAAGCGGCCCAAGGCGGGGUAAGGCUGAUCAAGGCGGCCCAGGGCGGGUCAAAGCGGGACAAGACGGGUCACGGCAGCCCCUUAACUGGUCACGGUGGCCCUAGGCGGGUACACGGCGCCCUAAAGGCGGCGUCCAAGGGCGGGUCAAGACGGCCCAAGACGGUUUAAGGCAGCCCUUUAACGGGUCAAGGCGGCCCAAGGUGGGUCAAGGCGGCCCAAGACGUGUCAAGACGGCCCAAAGCGUGGCAAGGCAGCCCUUUGGCGGGUCAAGGCAGCCAUUUGGCGACCCAAGGCGGGUCAAGGGGGGGCAAAGCGGCCCAAGGUGAGGCAAGGCUGGUCAAGGCAGCCCAAGACGGGUCAAGGUGGGCCAAGGCGGGUUACGGCAGCCCUUUAACUGGUUAAGGCGGCCCAAGGCGGGUCAAGGCGCCCCAAAGCGGCUUAAGGCGAGUCAAGGCGGCCCAAGAUGGUUCAGAGCAGCCCCUUAACGGGUCAAGGCGGCCCAAGGCGGGUUUAGACAGGUCAAGGCGGCCCAAGGUGUGUUAAGGCGCCCCUUAACGGGUCAAGGUGGCCCAAGGCGCGUUAAGACGGCCACUUGGCGGCCAUAAGCGUGUUAAUACAGCCCAAGGCAGGUAAAGGCAGCCCAAGACGGAGAAAAGCGGCCCAAGGCAGGGCAAGGCUGGUCAAGGCGGGGCAAAGCGGCCAAAAGCGGGUUAAGGCGGGCCAAGGCGGGUCACGACAAGGUAGCCCUCAAGGAGUCAAGGUUGGUUAAGGCGGCCCUAAACGGGUCAAAGCGGGUUAAGGCUGCCCAAGGCGGGUCAAGGUGGCCGCUUGGCGGCCUUAAGUGCGGCCCAAGACGGGUCAAGACGGCCACUUGGUGGCCCUAAGAGGGUUAAGGCAGGGCAAAGCGGCCCAAGACGGGGCCAGGCUGAUUAAGGCAGCCCAAGACGUGUCAAGGCGGGCCAAAGCGGCUCACGGCAGCCCCUUAACAUGUCAAGACGGCCUAAGGCGGGUUAAGGCGGCUCAAAGAGGGUCAAGGCGGCCACUUGGCAGCCCAAGACGGCCCCUUAGCGGCUAUAGGCAUGUCACGGCGGCCCUUUGGCUGCCCUAGAUGGGUCUUGGCAGCCCAUUAGCGGGUUAAGGGAGGUUAAAACGGCAUAAAGAGUGUAUAGGUAGCCUUUUGGCUGGUCAAGGCGGGUCAAGGCAGCCUAAGGCGGUUCAAGGCAGCCCCUUAAUGGGUCAAGGCGGCCCAAGGCGGGUCAAGGCUGGUCAAGGUGGCCCAAGGCUGGUCAUGGAGUCCCAAGCGGGGCUAGGAGGGUCAAGGUAGCCCUUAACGGGUCAACGCGGGUCAAGACAGCCCAAGGUGGCCCUAGUUGUGUCUUGGCGGGACAAGACGGCCCUUGGCGGGUCAAGGUGACCCUAGGCGGUCGUAGGAGGGUCAAGGAAGCCCCUUUAACGGGUGAACCAAGGCGGGCCUAGAAGGGUCAAAACGGCCCCUUGGUGGCCCUAGACGGGUCAAUGCGGCCUCUUAACGACCUUAGGCGGGUCAAAGCGGCUCUUUGGAUGCUCUAGAUAGGUCUUGUCAGCCCCUUGGCGGGCCUAAAAGGCCCCUUCACGAGUCAAGGCGGGUCAAGAUGGCCACUUGGCAGCCCUAGGCGGGUCAGUGCGGCCCCUUGGUUGUCCAAAACGGGUCUUGGUAGCUCCUUGGUGGGUCAAGGCGGCCCCUUGGUGUCCUUAUACGGGUCUUGGUCCUAGUUGAGUCUUGGCGGGCCUAAGGGAGGUUAAAGCCACCCUAGGCGUGUAAAGGCAGCCCCUUGGCAGGUUAAGGCGAGCCUAGGCGGGCUUAAAAGAGUCAAGGCAACCACUUAACGGGUCAAGGAGGCCUAAGACGAGUCAACGCAGCCCAAGACAGUUCAAGGCAGCCCUUAACGGGUCAAGGGCGGCCCAAGGCGUAUCAAGGCGGCCCAAGGUGGGCCUAUGGGAGGUCAAAGCGGCCCUAGGCAUGUAAAGGCAGCCCUGUUGACCCGCCUUGGGCCGUCUUGACCCUUCUUGGGCCAACUUGGACCGCUUUGACCUGCCUUAACCCGCUUUGGGCCGCCUUCACCCUUCUUGACCUUCCUAGACCCUCCAAGGAGACCCUUUGACCCGCCUUGAUCCACCUUAACCCGCCUUGGCACCUUUACCCUUCUAAACCCGCCAAGGGGCCACCUUGACUCGCACAAGGCUGCCUUGACCCUCUUAGGCCUGCCUAGGGUUUCCAAGGGGUCGCCUUAACCCACCAAGAGGCCGCUUUAACCCUCAUAGGGCCGCUAAGGGGUUUCCUAGACCUUCUUAGACCCAUCUAAGGGCAUCAAGGGGCCGCCUUGACCUGUCUAGGGCCUCCAAAGGGUCGCCUUGACUCGCCCAGGGCUGCCUUGACCCGCCUUGACUCUCCUAGACCCUCCAAGGGGCCGCCUUGAUCUGCCUUAACCCACCUUAACCCGCCCAUGGUUGCUUUAACCCUUUUAAGCCCGCCAAGGGCCACCAAGGGGCCGCCAUGACCCUCUUAGGGCCGCCAAGAGGCCACCUUAACGCAUUUAGGGCCGCGAUGGCCUGUCAUGGGCCACCUUGACCCGCCUUGGCCGCCUUGACACUGAUACGGGCGCCAAGAUGUCGCCUUAACCAAUCUAAGGCCGACAAGGGGCUGCCUUGACCGGCCUUGGCCCGCCUUGACCCGCCUUGACCCGCCUCUGGCCGCCUUGACCCUCAUAGGGCCGUCUUGACCCGCCUUGACCCGCCUUGGACCGCUUUGACUCGCCUUAACCCGGCUUGGUCGCCUUUCUCGUCUAGGGCCGCCAAGGGGCUGCCUUGACCAUCCUAGGCUCUAUUAAGCCCACCUAGGGCCACCAAGGGGCCGCCUUAACCCGCCAAGAGGCCACCUUGACGCACCUAUGGCCGUUAAGGGAUUGCCUAGACCCAUCUAGGGGAACCAAGGGGCUAUCUUGACCCGUCUAGGGCCGCCAGGGGGCCGCCUUGACCUACUCAGAGCUGCCUUGACCUGCCUAGGGAUGUCUUGUCUUGACUUGCCUUGGCCGCUUUGACCCUCCUAGGGCCGCCAAGAGGUCGCCUUAACCCAUCUAGGGCUGUCAAGUGGUCGUCUUGACCUGCAUUGGCCCGCCAAGAAGCCACCUUAACCCAUUUAGGGCUGCCAAAUGGCCACUUUGGCCCGCCAUAGGCCGCCUUGACCCGCCUAGGGCUAUUUUGACCCUUUUAGGCCCGACUAGGGCAACUAAGGGGCCGCUUUGAUCCUCUAAGGGUCGCCAAGAGUCCACCUUAACCCAUUUAGGGCCGCCAAGGGGCCACCUUCACCUGUCUUGGGCCGCCUUCAUUUGUCUUGGGCCGCCUUCACCCGCCAUGGGCCACCUUGACCCGCCUUGACACUCUUACGAGCGCCAAGAGGCCGCCUUAACCCAUCUAGGGAUGCCAAGGGGCCGCCUUGACCCUUCUUGACCCUCCAAAGGGCGACCUUGACCCUCUUAGAGCCGUCAAGAGGCCGUCUUAACCCAUUUAGGGCCGCCAAGGGGCCACCUUGCCCCGCCUUGAUCCGCCUUGGCAGCCUUGACCCUCCAUGGGCCGCUAAGAGGCCGCCUUAACUCGCAUUGGCCUGCCAUGGGAAGCUGAGGAGAGAGAGAUUCGAAGAAGGGAAACUUUUCUAGGUUGCCGGCGAGUUCUCGAUUCCGGCCACGGCGGUGGGCGUGGAUGGUGUUGGUAGCUUUGUCUCGGUCUUGUUCACGUUCCUGUGCCUUCAGCUUGUUGAGAUGAUGUCCGGUGAGUGAGAACCGAUGUUAAGGAGUGGUUUAAAUUUUUCGACGAGAGUUCGACGGAUUCCGGUGUGCUUUGAUGUCGACUCAGGUAUGAAAAUGGGCUAGUUAGUCGAGCUCUACCUGCUUAUAUAAUUGGAAUUGAGAUUGGUUGGGAUUUGAAGAAGUUGGGUUUUGGCAGAGGAGGACCGCCGUGUGUGCUGCUGUGCACGGCGGCGGUGAAGGUGUUUGAUUCAUAUCUGGUUUCGAAUUUCAUAUUCUCUGUGUACUUGAGAUGCAGUUUUGAUUGAAAAUUGAAGGUUUGGAAUUUUGGAGUACUGUGUUGGUGUUGGCAUGAGCGGUAAUUGGCAGCGGUGAUGAUUUUGGAUUUGUUGUUCAUAUCAGGUUAUUGUGUUGGUGUUGCUGGGAGUGAGAAUAAUAAUCGUGUUACUCUGAUUUUGGUGGUUUCAUGUAUCUGUUGAUUGAUGAUGUUUUGUCAAAUGGAGGUUUGAUCUCAAAAAUGGAGGAAGUAGAAGAAAGAUGUUAAGUUGGAUAAUGAAAGUAUCUGUAGGUGUACUUGUUCCUUAUGAGUAAGUUCGUAUGCCUAGAACGAUAUUGUAGAAUGGUUAAAAAGAAUGAGCAUGGUAUUGGAUUUGGGAAGAAUUGCAAAAGCAAGAGGAAUCCCAAAUAGAGGUGUUGGGUGUCCAUAGUAAAAUCAGAGAUAAGUUAGUAAUUGAAGUGUUGAUAUGAGCAAGCUUAAAGGUGAAUUGGAAUGUGACGAUGAACUUAUUAUGAGCGAGCAUGGUAUGUAAUUAGGAAACUAUCGGAGAAAGUGAGAGGGAGUGUGGGAUUGAGAACUUGGGUGUCCUUAUCAAUUUGAGGACUUACACCCACACAAAUUCCAGAUUCGACACAGUUGUUAUUGAAGGUGGAGAAUUAGUAUAAAAUGAUGAACUACGAGUGGUUUGAUCCCUUUAAAAAGGUACGUAGGCAGCCCGAUCGAGUUUUGGGUGCAGCCGCAAAUUAACAAAAUAAAUUUAGGUUUCAAACACAACAAACCUUCUGUCUGUUUUGAGGUCCUACCACCGUUUCGAUUUAGGAUUUUCUUAGUUAUUUUAUUCGUUUAUUUUUCCUAACACCUGGGUCAGGGUGUUACAAAGACGACCCAAGGCUGGUCAAGGCGGGCCAAGGCUGAUCAAAGCGGCCACUUGACAACUCAAGACGACCCUAGGCGACCCCUUGGUGGUCCCAAAUGGGUCUUGGCAGCUCUUUGGUAGGUUAAGGCGGCCCCUUGGUGUCCUUAGACGGGUCUUGGAAGCCCUUUGGCGGGUCAAGCCAGCCCUAGUUAAGUCUUGGUGGGACUAAGGGAGGUCAAAGUGGCCCUAGGCGUGUAAAGGCAGCCCCUUAGCGGGUUAAGGCGACCCUAGGCGGGCCUAAAAGGGUCAAGGCAACCACUUAACGGAUCAGGGCGGCCCAAGACGGGUCAACGCAGCCCAAGACGGUUCAAGGCAGCCCCAUAAUGGGUCAAGGCGGCCCAAGGUAGGUCACGGCGGCCCCUUAACGGGUCAAGGCGGCCUACAAAGGGUCAAGGCGGGUAAGGGCGGCCCAACGCGUGUCAAGGCAUCCCAAGGCGUGUCAAGGUGGCCCAAGGAGGGUCAUGACGACCACUUGGCGGGUCAAGGCGGGUUAAGACGGCCCAAUGCGAGUCAAGAUGGGCACACUGCAGCCCUAAGCUAGACAAGGCGGGUUAAGGCGCCCAAGCGGGUCAAGGCAGCCCCUUAAUGGGUCAAGGCGGCCCUAAGCGGGUCAAGGCGGGGCAAAGCGGCCCAAGGCUAGGCAACGCUGGUUAAGGCAGCCCAAGACGGGUCAAGUCGGGCCAAGUUGGGUUACGGCAGCCCCUUAACGGAUCAAGGCGGGUUAAGGCAGCCUAAGGCGGUUUAAGGCGGCCACUUGGCUGCCCAAAGCGGCCGAAGACGGUCCCUUGGCGGUUAUAGGUUGGUCACGGCGUCCCCUUGGCGACGCUAAACGAGUCUUGGUAUCCCCUUAGCAGGUCAAGGCGGCCCCUUGGUGGCCCUAGACAUGUCUUGAUAGCCCCUUGGCGGCUUAAGAGAGGUUAAAGCGGCCAAAAGCAUGUAAAGGUAGCCUCUUAGAGGGCCCAGAAGGCCCCUUGGCGGGUCAAGACGACCACUUGGCGGCCCAAGGCGGGUCAAGACGGCCCAAUGUGGGGCAAUGCUGGUCAAAACGGCCACUUGACGGCCCAAGACGACCCUUUGGAGGCCCUAGGCGGGUCACGGUGGCCCCUUGGUGGUCCAAAACGGGUCUUGGCAGCUCCUUGGUGGGUCAAGGCCGCCCCUUUGUGUCCUUAGAUUGGUCUUGGCAGCCCUUUGGCUGGUCAAGUCAGCCCUAGUUGAGUCUUGGCGGGCCUAAGGGAGGUCAAAGCGGCCCAAGGCAUGUAAAGGUAGCCCCUUGGUGUCCUUAGAUGGGUCUUGGCAGUCCCUUGGCAGGUCAAGGUGACCUAAGACGGGGCAAUGCUGGUCAAGACGACCCUAGGCGAGUCUUGGCCGGCCCAAGGGAGGUCAAAGCGGCCCUAGGCGUGUAAAGGCAGCCCCUUGGCUGGUCAAGAAGACCCUAAGCGGCCGAAGGCAGUCGAAGGCGCCUCAAGGCGGCCUAAAACGGUUCAAGGCAGCCCCAUGGUGGCCCUAAACAAGUCUAGGCGGCCAUAGUUGAGUCUUGGCGGGCUUAAGGGAGGUCAAAGCGGCCCUAGGCGUGUAUAGGUAGUUCAACGCGGAUCAAGGCGUGUAAAGGUAGCCCAAAACGGAUCAAGGCGUGUCAAGGCGGCCCAAGGCGAGUCAAGACGGCUAAUUGGCGGCCCUAAGCGGGUCAAGGCGGCUUAAGGCGGGUCCUAAGGCGGGUAAAGGCAUCCUAAGACGAUUCAAGGCAGUUCCUUAAUGGGUUAAGGCGGCCCAAGACGGGUUAAAGCGGCCACUUGGCGGCCCUUUGCGGGUUAAGACGGGUCAAGACGGCCACUUGGCGGCCUUAAGCGGGUUAAGGCGGUCAAAGGUUUGGGCAAGGCUGGUCAAGGCGGCCCAAGGUGGGCAAGGCGGGUCGCGACAGCCCCUUAACAUGUCAAGGUGGGUCAAGGCGGCCCAAAAUGGGUCAUGGCGAUAACUUGGCGGCCCAAGGCGGCCCCUUAGCGGCUAUAGGCAGGUCACGACAACCCCUUGGCGGUGCUAAACGGGCUUUGGUAUCCCCUUAGCGGGUCAAGGCAUCCCUUUGGUGGCCCUAGACGGGUCUUGGCAGCCACUUGGUGAGUUAAGGGAGGUUAAGCGUGUAAAUGUAACCCCUUGGCUGGCCUACAAGGCCCGUUAGCAGGUUAAGGCGGCCCAACGCAAGUCACGACGAGUCAAGGCGGGUCAAGGCGGCUCCAAUGCGUCAAGGCGGCCCAACGUAGGUCACAGCGAGUCAAGGCGGCCUAAGGCAUGUCAAGGCUGCCCAAGGCAAGUUAAGACGGCCACUUGGCGGCCCUAAACGGGUCAAGGUGGCUCCAAGGCGUGUCAAGGCGACUCCAAGGCCGGUCAAAGUGGGUUAUGGCCGACCAAGGCAGGUCAAGGUGGGUCAAGGCGGCCUAAGGUGAGUCAAGGCAGCCUAAGACGGUUCAAGGUAGCCCCUUAACGGGUUAAGUAGGCCUAAGACAGUUCAAGGCAGCCCCUUAACGGGUCAAAGCGUGUCAAGGCUGCCCAAGGCGGGUCGAAGGCGGCCUAAGGCGGGUCAAGACGGCCACUUGGCGGUCCUAAGCGGGUUAAGGCGGCCUAAGGCGGGGCAAAGCGGCCGAAGGCGGGGCAAG